rnacentral:rRNA from 1 species
GACGAACGCUGGCGGCGUGCUUAACACAUGCAAGUCGAGCGGUAAGGCCCUUUCGGGGGUACACGAGCGGCGAACGGGUGAGUAACACGUGGGUGACCUGCCCUCAGCUCUGGGAUAAGCCUGGGAAACCGGGUCUAAUACUGGAUAUGACUCCAUGACGCAUGUUGUGGGGUGGAAAGCCUUGUGCGGCUGAGGAUGGGCCCGCGGCCUAUCAGCUUGUUGGUGGGGUGAGGCCUACCAAGGCGACGACGGGUAGCCGGCCUGAGAGGGCGACCGGCCACACUGGGACUGAGACACGGCCCAGACUCCUACGGGAGGCAGCAGUGGGGAAUCUUGCGCAAUGGGCGAAAAGCCUGACGCAGCGACGCCGCGUGAGGGAUGACGGCCUCGG